GUGAGGAAUAUUGGUCAAUGGACGAGAGUCUGAACCAGCCAAGUCGCGUGAAGGAAGACGGUUCUAUGAAUUGUAAACUUCUUUUGUGCAGGAAUAAAGUGGGUUACGUGUAACCUUUUGUAUGUACUGUACGAAUAAGGAUCGGCUAACUCCGUGCCAGCAGCCGCGGUAAUACGGAGGAUCCGAGCGUUAUCCGGAUUUAUUGGGUUUAAAGGGUGCGUAGGUGGAUUGAUAAGUCAGAGGUGAAAGUUUGCAGCUUAACUGUAAAAUUGCCGUUGAACCUGUCGGUCUUGAGUGCAAAUGAGGUAGGCGGAAUGUGUUGUGUAGCGGUGAAAUGCUUAGAUAUAACACAGAACUCCGAUUGCGAAGGCAGCUUACUGGGAUGCAACUGACACUGAUGCACGAAAGCGUGGGUAUCAAACAGGAUUAGAUACCCCGGUAGUCC
rnacentral:rRNA from 1 species